rnacentral:rRNA from 1 species
CCAGUCUUUUGGGUAUGAAACCCAUUUGGGCGAGAGUAGUACUAGGAUGGGUGACCUCCUGGGAAGUCCUCGUG